rnacentral:rRNA from 1 species
UACGAAGGGUGCAAGCGUUACUCGGAAUUACUGGGCGUAAAGCGUGCGCAGGCGGUUAUUUAAGUCAGGUGUGAAAGCCCUGGGCUUAACCUAGGAAUUGCGCUUGAGACUGGAUAGCUUGGAGUGCGGCAGAGGGAGGUGGAAUUCCACGUGUAGCAGUGAAAUGCGUAGAGAUGUGGAGGAACACCGAUGGCGAAGGCAGCCUCCUGGGCCAGCACUGACGCUCAUGCACGAAAGCGUGGGGAGCAAACAGG